rnacentral:lncRNA from 1 species
UUUCAGUUCCCUUCCCACAGACCAAAAGUCUUCAUUACCAUUUUUUUCCCCAAGGGUUGGGAAAAUAUACAAGUCUUGUCUUUCUCAUUUGACAGGCUUUCCAGUGAAGAUCUGUUGCCAAACGUUACAGAAUGUCAAUGCUCUUCUCUGCAUCUUCUCCCCCGGUCCCCCUGUGGCGCCGCUGCACCUUCCGUCUCUUUUCCCUCACCUUCUCCCCCCCAGUCCCACCCCACCUUGUCUUUUGUUCUAUUUUUACAGGUCAUUUAUCUCCAGGCUUUGAGAUCUGCGUGGGGGAGCUGUUGCAGCAGCCCUAGCCGGGUGAGCUGUGCUGCCUGGGGGAGGUUGCUGAAGGGAUCUCAAGCCCACUGCUUUGCCCCAGAGGAGCUAGAGGUGUGAUGGGUGGCAGGUGAAUCCCAUGUUUCCACUACAGCUGGAAGGGGAUACCACAGAGACUUCUUAGCAGAAUCUAGCACGUUUUUCAGUAGAGCGGGCAAAGGGACCAGCUCUGAGGUUUGUCCCUGUAAGCAUAUGGAGAGGAAUUAGGGUCUUGAGGAGCCAGGAAUUUUUCAUUUGACAUCUAAAUGAGCAUCUCACAACAGCCGAGACAGUGUUGGGUUCAAGUCCCAGAUCCACCACUCGUGACUGGGCACAGUAGCGCUCCCUACUGAGCAACUGUCCCUCUGGGCAAUGUGGAUAGUAAUUUUACCUCCUGAGGCCAUUGUGAGCUUCUCAUGGGACAGAGACAGUAAGAUGCCUGGCAUUUAGUAGGUACUCAGUAAACGGUAGUGUGGCUCCUCAAGCUUUCACUAUGCAAAGUGUCAGAAAUGGAGCCAUCCCCUCCCCCCAGCCUAUCAUCCCACUUCAUCAGGCUGUGCACUGCAGCCAGGAAAUACGAUGUAGUGUCUAAUACUCCUGUCUGUGCGGCUGCCACUCCUCUCCCUGCCCCCUCCCUUCUCUCCACACCAACANNNNNNNNNNNNNNNNNNNNNNNNNNNNNNNNNNNNNNNNNNNUUCUUGAUUGAUCCUCUCUCCCGCCCCACCCACUGCCCACCUCUUGGGUCAUUCUUGCACAAUUAUUGUAUUUAUUAGAUGUCUUCCAUCUUCUAAGCGGGAUCAAUAGUUGGUGAUUUGAUUCCAUCGCAUGUCUGAGAAAGUGCAGUCAGCUAGCGGAUAUCUUUCACCGUUUUCCCUCAUCCCAGCCCAUAAAUGUUGGCUAAUCUCACUGGAUCUGACAAAGGGCUAAAACGAUUUCACUGCGACAGAGUUGGCCUUUGUGACAGACAGUAAACAUCGUUGGAGACACUCAGGUAAGCCCAGGAUCAGGCCCUGGAGAUGGAGAAGUGUC